AUGGGACCUGCCGGUCUCCUCCUCCUCAUACUAGCAACUGCGGCACAAUUGCUCUCCGAGGCGCAGUUUGCCGAGUAUCCCACAGCCAACAUCUCAACACUGUGGGUCAACAACGAAGAUUACAUGUCAAACUUGGGCUUCAAUGAUGGAUCGGUGGUCCGCUCCAUUGUUGUCAGCUCACCACAAACCUUCUUCGGACCCUCCUUUGGCGCAGGUUUCUUCUGUGCCUCCCCCUGCAACGCGUUCCUCUUUGCUGUCUACAUUUUCCACAUCGAUGGUAUUCAUGGUGAGAGUAAGACCGCAAGACCGCACGUGGUAUGGUCUGCCAACCGGGCUCGCCCUGUAAGGGAGGGUGCCACUGUUGAGCUUACCAUUGAUGGGAACUUGGUGCUCCGAGAUGCUGAUGCUAGCCUCGUCUGGUCUAGCGGCAGCUCGGGCCGGUCAGUAGCAGGCAUGGUGAUCACCAAGGACAGCAAUCUGGUGCUAUUUGAUCACAGUAAUGGAACUGUAUGGCAGUCUUUUGAUCAUCCUAGUGACGUGUUGCUCCCUGGGCAGUCACUACUGGAAGGUACGAGGUUUGUAGCCACAAAUUGGACAGAGAAUCAAUUCUACAUGACAGUUCUUCCCAGAGGAUUGUAUGGUUAUGUUGAAUCCACACCACCACAACUCUACUAUGCAUAUUCAGUAUGGGUGAGCGAGAAUGACACAGGAAAUGGUCCAACAAAGGUUAACUUUGUCAAUGGCAGCCUCAGCCUCCUUGUGCAGUCUAGGCAGCCAAGCAACCCACAUAUGUCUAAUAUCUCACUGCCAGCAGCUAAAUCCACCCAGUACAUGAGGCUUGAGUCUGAUGGGCACCUUAGGCUGUAUGAAUGGUCUCAGGCGGAAGCGACAUGCACUUUGUUGUCUGACGUAACCAAGAUAGAAAGAUUGCCUGAUGAUUGUGCAUUCCCAACAGUGUGCGGAGAGUAUGGCAUAUGCACAGCUGGGCAGUGCACGUGUCCAUUUGAGGACAACUCAAGUUCAACAAAUUACUUCAAGCUGGUGAACGGCCGCAAGGCAAAUCUUGGCUGCGCACCAUUGAAUCCAAUCUCUUGCCAAGAAAUGCAACACCACCAGCUCUUGACCCUUACCAAUGUUUCUUACUUUGAUGAAAGCCACACCAUUGAGAAUGCAACGAAUGGCGACAGUUGUAAGCAGGCUUGCUUGAAGAACUGCUCCUGCAGGGCCGUCAUCUUCAGAUAUGGCCUCAAUGAUUCCAAGGGCGAUUGUCUGUGGGUGACAAAGGUCUUCUCCUUGCAAUCAAUACAACCUGAAACGGCUUCUUUCAAUUCGUCUGCUUACCUCAAGGUGCAAUCUAGCCCCUCUUCUGCUGCAAACAAAAAGGUCAUUCUAGGCAUCACCCUUGCACUUGUUACUACUAUCAUAUUCAUUGCCAUUGUUAUCACUGUUUGUCUGCUAAGGAGGGGAAAGUAUGAAGACAAUGAUGAAGACCUCCAGUUUGAUCAAUUACCAGGGAUGCCAACAAGGUUUCCAUUUGACAAGCUGAGAGAAUGCACUGAAGGAUUCAAUAAAAAGCUUGGAGAAGGUGGAUUUGGGUCGGUUUUUGCAGGGAAAUUAGGUGAAGAGAGAGUUGCAGUCAAACGUCUGGAAGGUGCUAGACAAGGAAAGAAAGAGUUUUUGGCAGAGGUUGAAACCAUUGGAAGCAUAGAGCACAUCAAUCUUGUCAGGCUGAUUGGCUUUUGUACAGAGAAAUUCCAAAGGCUUCUUGUGUACGAAUAUAUGUCGGGAGGGUCACUUGAUAGAUGGAUCUAUUACCGCCACGAUAAUGCCCCACUAGAUUGGCACACAAGGUGUGGAAUCAUUCUGGAUAUUGCCAAAGGCCUAUGCUAUCUUCAUGAGGAGUGCAGGCGAAAGAUAGCUCAUUUGGACAUCAAACCACAAAAUAUUCUCUUAGAUGAGAACUUUAAUGCCAAAGUGGCCGAUUUCGGACUAUCUAAGCUAAUAGACAGGGAUCAAAGCAAGGUAAUGACGAUGAUGAGAGGCACGCCUGGGUAUAUGGCACCUGAAUGGUUAACCUCACAAAUCACUGAAAAGGUUGAUGUCUACAGCUUUGGAGUAGUUGUCAUGGAGCUAAUAAGUGGGAGAAAAAAUAUUGAUAAUUCUUUGCCUGAGGAGAGUUCUCACCUCAUCAAUUUGUUACGAGGAAAGGCUCGAGAUAAUCAAAUGAGUGAUCUGAUUGACGAACAUAGUGAAGACAUGCUCUCGCACCAGGAGCAGGUCAUUCAAAUGAUGAAGCUUGCAAUGUGGUGCCUGCUAAAUGAUGCCGGUCAAAGGCCUAACAUGUCAAUGGUGGUAAAGGUAUUAGAAGGUGGGAUGAGCAUAGAAACCACUAUUCUUCACAGAUUUCUCAAUACAAAUACAGUCUUGCCCCUGGAAGAUAAUCCGAACGCAUAUUCAGUUCAAACUCAAGCAUCAAUUUUAUCUGGACCAAGGUGA
rnacentral:rRNA from 1 species